AACGAACGCUGGCGGCGUGCCUAACACAUGCAAGUCGUACGAGAAAAUCCGCUUCGGCGGGUGAGUAAAGUGGCGCACGGGUGAGUAACGCGUGGAUAAUCUGCCUUUAAGCGGGGAAUAACUUACCAAAAGGUGGGCUAAUACCCCAUAAAGCUAUGGAGCUCCGGUUUUCAUAGCCAAAGAGAGCCUCUGCAUGCAAGCCCUCACUUAGAGAUGAGUCCGCGUACCAUUAGCUAGUUGGUGGGGUAAUGGCCUACCAAGGCGACGAUGGUUAGCUGGUCUGAGAGGAUGAUCAGCCACACUGGAACUGAGACACGGUCCAGACUCCUACGGGAGGCAGCAGUGAGGAAUAUUGCGCAAUGGGGGCAACCCUGACGCAGCAACGCCGCGUGAGUGAGGAAGGUUUUCGGAUCGUAAAGCUCUGUCGGGUGGGAAGAAAUGUAUGGAGGUUAACAGCCUUUGUACUUGACGGUACCGCCAAAGGAAGCACCGGCUAACUCCGUG
rnacentral:rRNA from 1 species